GGUUGUCACGCAGCGCAUGUGCAAGCCCGCCCUGGAAACAGUCGCUGGGAGGAACUUCGGGUCUCGCGCGUGCGCACAGGGAGCGCGGGCUGCCAGGCCCACGCCACCGUCCGCGCGGGUUAAGCACGUUGGUCACGUGUUGACCGCCGUCCCGGUUUGAGGAGGUUCGCGCGCCAAUCGCUGCUGAGACACUGGCGGGAGGAGUUGUGGUCAGUGACUUUGGAGGCCUCUGAUGGUGUGGUGGGUGGCUGAGGAGGCAGGCCGUGAAUCUUGGAGCACGAGGCGUGUGCAACGUGAUUCUCACGUGGAUGGGCCAUAGGGAGGGUGGAUCGCAACCUGCGGCUUGGAAGCUUAAGGUGGCUCUUCCCGAUAUGGGGCCGGAGAGCUCUGAAUGACGGACUCCAAAGGCCACCUGCCCCAAUUGCUGUCUUUUGAUAGACGUCCACAGAUUUCCUCGUUGGGAGCUGUAAAGAAAACACAGCCAGCGUCGCUAAGCACCUUCCUCCUGCAGCAAGGACACUCAUUUGAAUGAGGAGAGGUUUUCUUCUGUAUGGAAUACAUCAAAGAGGAAGGCACCUGGGGAAUCUCGCAGACAGUGGGCCACAGGAUUGUGGAGAGAAGCAGAGAUGAGAAAGAAAAAUUUUAAAAAGCCAAAAGUGUAGAGUACUACCACAAGCAAGAUGGAUGAAUGUGAUUUCCCCGAGCCUUUCAUUUUGGGGGGCAUUUGCUGCUGUGCAGCGCCUUUGAUUGGACCCAGGAUUUGAAGAAAGGGGUGCUUAACUGUCAAGUGUGCAUCAACAAAAUGUUCAAAAAUGGGUUCUUAUACACUGACUCUUGAGGGUUCCCAGAAUUAUGAUGUCAUCCCAUCUUUGUGUUCCAGUCCAAGACCACAAAGACCUUCAUCUACACAGCCGCUUCCACGUGAGCAGAGCUGGUAGGGAGGGUGCUAGCAAUGCUGACCCAUGAUGCUCGUUCCCAAAACCUGCUGCUUGGCUGUGCUUCCAAUCCCCAGCUGUCAGUCCAUCUGCCCCCUCCGGUGGCCUCAGGUUGAAGUCACCCAGAUGCAUAGCACUGAAGCUAAUUAAUGUGUCCUCUGGCUCACAGCAAGCACCGUGGCCUACGGCAGGUGGCAACAUUGACACAGGGCGGGGUCCAAUUUUAAGCAGCUAAAUGUUAGGGGGGCAGAGGUCACUCCAUGUCUGGAAUUUAAUUUCGAAGGUAGGUCCCAUUGCGAGGCUUCCUCGUCCUCUCUCCUGCUCUUCAUGGCUGUUAGCAGAAAAUACCCCAUGGGUGGAAGAAGCUUCUGCAUACUGCUGCAGUUUUCUUUUUCGUCUUUGUACGAUAGAGGAAUGGAGGUUGUGGCUGGUUUUGUAGGAGCCGUACUUCCUGUGUCAAGAAAAACCAUAUGAGGUGUUAUUGGAACUAGACUAUGACAUUAUAAAAAACUGUGGAGAAGUGUGAUAGUUUAUAUAUGCUUGGGCCAGGGAGUGGCACUAUUAGGGGGUGUGGCAUUGUUGGAGUAGGUAUGUCACUGUGGGUGUGGACUUAAACACCUUAGCCCUAGCUGCCUGGAAGCCAGUCUUCUCCUAGCAGCCUUCAGAUGAAGAUGUAGAACUCUCAGGUCCUGCACCAUGCCUGCCUGCCCUGGAUGCUGCCAUGUUCCUCCCUUGAUGAUAAUGAACCUGUAAGCCAGCCCCAAUAAAAUGUUGUCCUUAUAAGA